rnacentral:rRNA from 1 species
CCCCUAGAUGUUCUGGGCCGCACGCGCGCUACACUGAACAGUUCAACAAGUCUUAACCUUGGCCGAUAGGUCUGGGUAAUCUUUGAACGCUGUUCGUGAUUGGGAUAGACCUUUGCAAUUAUGGGUCUUCAACGAGGAAUUCCUAGUAAACGCAAGUCAUCAGCUUGCAUUGAUUACGUCCCUGCCCCUUGUACACACCGCCCGUCGCACCUACCGAUUGAAUGGUCCGGUGAAAUCUCGGGACGGCGGCUCGGUCGCUUGCGUCCGACUGCUGAAACUUGAUUAAACCAUAUCAUUUAGAGGAAGGUGAAGUCGUAACA